rnacentral:rRNA from 1 species
AUACAUGCAAGUCGAGCGAACAGACGAGGAGCUUGCUCCUCUGACGUUAGCGGCGGACGGGUGAGUAACACGUGGAUAACCUACCUAUAAGACCGGGAUAACUUCGGGAAACCGGAGCUAAUACCGGAUAAUAUAUUGAACCGCAUGGUUCAAUAGUGAAAGACGGUUUUGCUGUCACUUAUAGAUGGAUCCGCGCCGCAUUAGCUAGUUGGUAAGGUAACGGCUUACCAAGGCAACGAUGCGUAGCCGACCUGAGAGGGUGAUCGGCCACACUGGAACUGAGACACGGUCCAGACUCCUACGGGAGGCAGCAGUAGGGAAUCUUCCGCAAUGGGCGAAAGCCUGACGGAGCGACGCCGCGUGAGUGAUGAAGGUCUUCGGAUCGUAAAACUCUGUUAUUAGGGAAGAACAAAUGUGUAAGUAACUAUGCACGUCUUGACGGUACCUAAUCAGAAAGCCACGGCUAACUACGUGCCAGCAGCCGCGGUAAUACGUAGGUGGCAAGCGUUAUCCGGAAUUAUUGGGCGUAAAGCGCGCGUAGGCGGUUUUUUAAGUCUGAUGUGAAAGCCCACGGCUCAACCGUGGAGGGUCAUUGGAAACUGGAAAACUUGAGUGCAGAAGAGGAAAGUGGAAUUCCAUGUGUAGCGGUGAAAUGCGCAGAGAUAUGGGGGAACACCAGUGGCGAAGGCGACUUUCUGGUCUGUAACUGACGCUGAUGUGCGAAAGCGUGGGGAUCAAACAGGAUUAGAU